GUGACUGAACCCGAAGUGGUAGAGGGGCUGGUCUGUGACACCAGUGUUAGCGAGUUUGACUCUCGUCAGUCACCCCA
rnacentral:tRNA from 1 species